CCCGCCUCGGCCUCCCAAAAUGCUGGGAUUAUAGGCGUGAACCACCGCGCCCGGCCUACUUUGACUUUUACUCUGUUAGGUUUUCCAGAAUGCUGACUCUUCUGCCCCUUGAACCAGGGACUCCAAAGAAUAAGAUUCAUGGGGGCGGGGGCAAGGAGUUAAUGUAUUCUGUCUGUGGCCAGCCAUCUUCCCUGGUACAUCUUCUUUUCUCAGUUCAAACUGAGGAACGGGUUAGUUGGAACUGGAGUCUUUCUCUUCCCCUAUUUUCCUCUGAAAGAGUUCAUUGUAAAAGUUUUUUUACCCAUUAGCUGGGUGAGAAUGCCAGAUAAAUGGCAGAACAAGUUAAAAAUGAGAUUGUUCCCUCAACUUCAUGUGAAAGGUGGAGUACUUGGCUAGAUACUCUGUUUAUUGUGUAAUGGAUUGAACCUUGAAAAAUAAAACCCCAUAAGAAUAGCA
rnacentral:lncRNA from 10 species